GCGGACAUGGUGCACGGUGCACCACUGCAUUCUGUUAUUGAGUUAUCAAUCCAAAAUUGAAUUGCAAGCAGUUUGACGGGGUUCGACUCCCCGUGUCCGCC